AACUUUUAACAAUGGAUCACUUGGCUCCCACAUCGAUGAAGAACGCAGCGAAAUGCGAUAAGUAAUGUGAAUUGCAGAAUUCCGUGAAUCAUCGAAUCUUUGAACGCACAUUGCACUCCUUGGUAUUCCAGGGAGUAUGCCUGUUUGAGCGUCAGCAAUCUCUCAAUCCUUCUGGGGUUUAUUCCUCAAUAAGAAGAUUGGUUAUGGAGUGUGUGACUUAUUCUCACUGCUCUGAAUUGCAUUGGCCAAAUGUGUUGAAUUGUACAUCAGUGUAUUAGGUUAUUCCAACUCACUGCUAAGCAGUUCUCUUGAGCAUAUGGCUGGAAACCUUGCUCUCUUACAGAGGGCUGUAAGAGCAAAAUUUUGAUUUUGACCUCAAAUCAGGCAGGAUUACGGGCUGAACUUAAGCAUAUCAAUAAGCGGAGGCU
rnacentral:misc_RNA from 1 species